UAAAACACGAAAUCGCUCGCAAGAAAAAUGUCAAAACUGCUGGAAUUAAAAUCAUUUUUGCCGGUCGAGAAUUACCCGAUGAAUUAACACUCGGGAAUGCAGAGAUGAACCACAGCGUCAUUCAUGCUGUUCAGAAAUCUGGUCAGAUCUCAGUUGAUGCAACUUACAAUGCGAAUGAUGGUUUGACGAAAGUGAAACUGACACAGGAUGACGAAGAUGAAGAUGGUGAAUCUGAACAAUCAGGAAUUUUAUUUCAAAUGUGGGGAACAUCAUGGUAGAGAUGAACAGGCCCUAUUAUCAAUGUUGAAAUCUAACAUCAGAAAUAUUCCCUGCAUCACAUGCUCUAAAAUAUCGUAAGUUUACCCUUUCAUUUUAUGUCUCCUCCCAGAAAUAUUUAUCCUUCUGGGAAAGUUGAAUUUUUUAAUCCAAACCACAGUUAAUAGAAACUAAUAACUCUGAUCCAACAUGGUCAAUAUUUAAUCAAUUUUUUUCACUCAUCCAC
rnacentral:lncRNA from 1 species